CCCCCACGCGCGCGCCCGGCUGAUGCGCAGUGACCGACGGGGACCCACCUCCCCAACCGGGGAGCGUCUGACCUACAGGGAAUAGGCGCCUCUCUCCUGCCUCGGGGAGAAGGUUUGGAGGAAGGGGGAGGACCUGAGGUGUCUAGAGGAGGCAGCCAGCGUGUCCUCUUGCAGCAGCAGGACAUGAAAGCAGGCGAAGAGAGGACAUGGACUUUGACCCUAUCAAUAAACACGUGCAAUAAAAAAGUGUCGGAACUGGA